AGUGAACGCUGGCGGUAGGCCUAACACAUGCAAGUCGAACGGCAGCACAGUAAGAGCUUGCUCUUACGGGUGGCGAGUGGCGGACGGGUAAGGAAUACAUCGGAAUCUACUUUUUCGUGGGGGAUAACGUAGGGAAACUUACGCUAAUACCGCAUACGACCUACGGGUGAAAGCAGGGGAUCUUCGGACCUUGCGCGAUUGAAUGAGCCGAUGUCGGAUUAGCUAGUUGGCGGGGUAAAGGCCCACCAAGGCGACGAUCCGUAGCUGGUCUGAGAGGAUGAUCAGCCACACUGGAACUGAGACACGGUCCAGACUCCUACGGGAGGCAGCAGUGGGGAAUAUUGGACAAUGGGCGCAAGCCUGAUCCAGCCAUACCGCGUGGGUGAAGAAGGCCUUCGGGUUGUAAAGCCCUUUUGUUGGGAAAGAAAAGCAGCAGGUUAAUACCCCGCUGUUCUGACGGUACCCAAAAAAUAAGCACCGGCUAACUUCGUG
rnacentral:rRNA from 1 species